rnacentral:rRNA from 1 species
CUAGUAAUCACAGGUCAGCAUACUGUGGUGAAUACGUUCCCGGGCCUUGUACACACCGCCCGUCACACCAUGAGAGUUGAGAAUACCCGAAGCCCAUGUCAAAGUGGUCGAAGGUAGGCUUGAUGAUUGGGGUGAAGUCGUAACAAGGUAGC